rnacentral:rRNA from 1 species
AUUGAACGCUGGCGGCAGGCCUAACACAUGCAAGUCGAACGAGUGGCGGACGGAUGAGUAAUGUCUGGGAAACUUCCUGAUGGAGAGGGAUAAGUACUGGAAACGGUAGCUAAUACCGCCUACCCUCAGCUGUGCCCAGAUGGGAUUAGCUAGUUGGUGCGUGAACGGCUCACCAAGGCGACGAUCCCUAGCUGGUCUGAGAGGAUGAACAGCCAAACUGGAACUGAGACACGGUACAGACGCCUACGGGAGGCAGCAGUGGGGAAUAUUGCACAAUGGGCGCAAGCCUGAUGCAGCCAUGCCGCGUGUAUGAAGAAGGCCUUCGGGUUGUAAAGUACUUUCAGCGGGGAGGCGUUACCCGCAGAAGAAGCACCGGCUAACUCCGUGCCAGCAGCCGCGGUAAUUC